UGGGGAAUUUUGGACAAUGGGCGCAAGCCUGAUCCAGCCAUGCCGCGUGCGGGAAGAAGGCCUUCGGGUUGUAAACCGCUUUUGUCAGGGAAGAAAUCUUCUGAGUUAAUACCUCGGGAGGAUGACGGUACCUGAAGAAUAAGCACCGGCUAACUACGUGCCAGCAGCCGCGGUAAUACGUAGGGUGCAAGCGUUAAUCGGAAUUACUGGGCGUAAAGCGUGCGCAGGCGGUUUUGUAAGACAGAGGUGAAAUCCCCGGGCUCAACCUGGGAACUGCCUUUGUGACUGCAAGGCUUGAGUGCGGCAGAGGGGGGAUGGAAUUCCGCGUGUAGCAGUGAAAUGCGUAGAUAUGCGGAGGAACACCGAUGGCGAAGGCAAUCCCCUGGGCCUGCACUGACGCUCAUGCACGAAAGCGUGGGGAGCAAAACAGGAUUAGAUAGCCCUGGUAGUCCACGCCCUAAAACCGAUGUCAACUGGUUGUUGGGAAGGUUCCUUCUCAGUAACGUAGCUAACGCGUGAAGUUGACCGCCUGGGGAGUACGGCCGC
rnacentral:rRNA from 1 species